GUCUGUGUCUGUCUGUAUGCUGCUUUUGCUGGGGACAGAACAGGAAUGGAGUCUUAGAACUUCUAGAUUCAGUGUGACUCAGGUCAUUGCCCAGGGAUGUAGCACAGAAAACAUAAAACUGGAGCACUUCGAGAUUCUUCUUUUCCAUGCCAGUGCAGAUGAUAAGGACCGGAUCUCCUUGUCCUAUGGGCUUUUAAGAGAGAGGACCAGCUAAGGAAGAGAGGGAUCUGAGCUGGAAUGCUGCUCGGCCAAACCAAUGAGAGAAGAAGAUGCUCUCCCUUUGCUUUUAGCAGAGAAAGGAAAGCUGGUCUCCUCCCCACAUUCCCCUUACUUUAAUCUUUGCACAUAGACUUCCCCUUGCUGUCAUUAGCAAAGCAUAGAUGUUAAAGCAUCUGGAUGUCCACUUGCUGCCUGUUGACUGCUACAAAGAUUAUAAGCUUUCUGUUCCUGAUUCAUGCUUGAAUGCAUGCCACUGGUGAAUGAAUACUUAGGUGCACAUGCUCAGAGAGAUCUUCUUAUGCAACAAUGCCUCACAUGUCCGCAAUGGCUUCAUAGACAGCACUGUUUGCUAUCACUUUCUAAUGUCACCUUCAGCUGUAACAUUUUUAUUGUUGUUGUUUUUAAUUAAAUUGCAUCCUGAUGGAAUACAC